GGAGAAACAUUCGGAGAAGGAACAUGAAAGACUAGGGUAUUCAGUCAACCGUUCUCAGUUGCUCCAUGGCAGCCAUCCCCAAAAGAGGCAUCAUCUCUCUGUUACUAGAGAUGGUGAAUGUGGUAAUGAUUUCAGGAGAUUUAUUGGUGCUGAGCCAAUUUGUCAUGCAGAAUACACUAUACAACCUGAAGCAGGACCAGCUGAUGCAGAUGCAAGAAUGCCAGAGCGAGGGCGUCUUAAGCUACGUGUCGGGAAUCUGAAUUCCAAGUCACAACUACUUGGUAUUGAUCAAUUAGCUCACCUGCUGUCAUCAUCAGGCAAUUGCAGAAUACACUAUACAACCUGAAACAACACCAGCUCAUGCAGGUGUUUUCAUAUCCAAAUAGAUGCAAGAAUGCCAGAGCAAGGGCGUCUUAAGCUAUGUGUCAGGAAUUUGAAUUCCAAGUCACAGCUACUUGGUAUUGAUCAAUUAGCUCACCUGCUGUCAUCAUCAGGCAAUUGCAGAAUACACCAUAGAACCUGAAACAACACCAGCUGAUGCAGAUGCAAGAAUGCUAGAGCAAGGGCGUCUUAAGCUACGUGUCAGGAAUCUGAAUUCCAAGUCACUACUACUUGGCUCUCCAUCAAGUUCCAAUUCUACAAGUGUUAAUUCCAGCUUCUGAAUCCAAGAACUUAUGCUGGUGCAUGAUGCGACAUGAGCUGCCAAUGUUUUCUCAAGCAUGGUGGUAAGUAACAA